rnacentral:rRNA from 1 species
CCUACGGGAGGCAGCAGUGAGGAAUAUUGGUCAAUGGACGCAAGUCUGAACCAGCCAUGUCGCGUGCAGGAUGACGGCUCUAUGGGUUGUAAACUUCUUUUAUACGAGGGUAAACUGAGGCACGCGUACCUUUCUGCAAGUACCGUAUGAAUAAGGAUCGGCUAACUCCGUGCCAGCAGCCGCGGUAAUACGGAGGAUUCAAGCGUUAUCCGGAUUUAUUGGGUUUAAAGGGUGCGUAGGGGGUCAGUUAAGUUAGUGGUGAAAGCUCGAGGCUCAACUUCGGAAUUGCCGUUGAUACUGGCAGGCUAGAGAGUAGUUGCGGUAGGCCGAAUGUGUGGUGUAGCGGUGAAAUGCUUAGAGAUCAUACAGAACACCGAUUGCGAAGGCAGCUUACCAAGCUACUACUGACGUUGAGGCACGAAAGCGUGGGGAUCAAACAGGAUUAGAUACCCGAGUAGUC